UUUUUUAGGGGGAUGAUGGACCUGUUUUGUAUCCUAAUUGUGGUAGCAGGUACGCAACUAUACAUGGGUUAGAAUUCAUAGAACUGUAAAUGAAGAAAACCCUCAAUUUUGCCAGAUGUUAAUUUUUCAAAAUUAAAUAAUGAUCUUUUGGACUCACAUGUAGGUCAUCCCAUGUCCCUGUUAAAAGUAAUUUUGAAGCCAAUCACAAAAGGCCACAUAUAGCAAAAAAAUUAGCUGGGCAUGAUGGCGGGCGCCUGUAGUCCCAGCUACUCGGGAGGCUGAGGCAGGAGAAUGGCGUGAACCCGGAGGCGGAGCUUGCAGUGAGCUGAGUUCGUGCCCCUGCCCUCCAGCCUGGGCGACAGAGAGAGACUCCAUCUCAAAAAAAAUAAAAAAUAAAAAGAAAGAGGAGGAGUCAUGAGCAUGGAUGAGAUCAGAAGGGCUGUGGACAAAUUGCACAAGGAGAAGCAGCCAAUGCUGGACCGAAGACGGGGGCUCUUCCCUCUUCCCUAAGACAGUGUAAGCCUGGGCGUCACAUGCACACCUUGGGCUGGGUGGAUGAAGUGGGGGAGGAGGGA
rnacentral:lncRNA from 1 species